ensembl:snoRNA small nucleolar RNA SNORA42/SNORA80 family
GUACGGGUUUGGGUUUAUGGCAGGUCCAUGCCCCUUGGUCUCUCAUAGUGAUCCAUGCCAGAGCAAACUGUGGACUUGAACUAUUGCCUGGCCUCUCUGUCCAUUGACUGCAGGCAUUGAAGUGGAUUGCACAGUG